AGAUCCCUACCGUGCCCGUGAUGAUAUAGGCGUUUUUUGAGCCAACAGCUGUUCGAAGGGAGCCUGUUCUCUGAGUAACAGCGGGACCCGCCAGUGCGGGGGCGCGACGACUCGGAGUCUGGCGCCCACCUGGAUCUUCCAGGUUCAAAAGUCUCUGUCACACGGCAGUCCGGUGGGGAUUUC
rnacentral:other from 1 species